rnacentral:rRNA from 1 species
AACGAACGCUGGCGGCAGGCCUAACACAUGCAAGUCGAGCGGACCCUUCGGGGUUAGCGGCGGACGGGUGAGUAACGCGUGGGAAUAUGCCCUUCUCUACAGAAUAGUCCUGGGAAACUGGGGGUAAUACCGUAUACGCCCUUUGGGGGAAAGAUUUAUCGGGGAAGGAUUAGCCCGCGUUGGAUUAGGUAGUUGGUGGGGUAAUGGCCUACCAAGCCGACGAUCCAUAGCUGGUUUGAGAGGAUGAUCAGCCACACUGGGACUGAGACACGGCCCAGACUCCUACGGGAGGCAGCAGUGGGGAAUCUUAGACAAUGGGGGCAACCCUGAUCUAGCCAUGCCGCGUGAGUGAUGAAGGCCUUAGGGUUGUAAAGCUCUUUCAGCUGGGAAGAUAAUGACGGUACCAGCAGAAGAAGCCCCGGCUAACUCCGUG